GACGAAGGAUGCAAGCGUUAUCCGGAUUCAUUGGGUUUAAAGGGUGCGUAGGCGGCCUAUUAAGUCAGGGGUGAAAGACGGUAGCUUAACUAUCGCAGUGCCUUUGAUACUGAUGGGCUUGAAUGGACUAGAGGUAGGCGGAAUGUGACAAGUAGCGGUGAAAUGCAUAGAUAUGUCACAGAACACCAAUUGCGAAGGCAGCUUACUAUGGUUUAAUUGACGCUGAGGCACGAAAGCGUGGGGAUCAAACAGG
rnacentral:rRNA from 1 species